rnacentral:misc_RNA from 1 species
CGCGCAUUGCCCACGCGCCUCUAGGUCUCAGGUCUUGCGGGCGCCGUCUCCAAUAUUGUAUUAGUCCAGUGCCUAAGUGACUUCUCGUGUCGGGGACGUUGUUAAGCCGUAAAAAUGGAGACGCUCAAUAGGCUAGUGGAGCAGUACCAUGAUCUAAUGGACAACAAAAGUGACCAGAGGGUCAAAGGAUGGUUCCUCAUGUCUUCUCCGAUCCCGACCCUAGUGAUUUGCCUCACAUAUGUCUUCACAGUUAAAGUACUGGGACCAAAACUUAUGGAAAACAGGAAGCCAUUUGAAUUAAAACAAGUACUUAUAUGGUAUAAUCUAUUCCAAGUUUUGUUCAGUAUUUGGCUGUUUCACGAGAGUCUGGCGAGCGGAUGGUUCUCCACGUACAGCUUCCGGUGUCAGCCAGUCGACUAUUCCAACACACCACAAGCUAUGCGGACAGUAAAUGGAUGUUGGUGGUACUACUUUUCAAAGUUUACGGAGUUUUUCGACACGAUCUUCUUCGUGAUGCGGAAGAAGUUUGACCAUGUGUCCAAGCUCCACGUGAUCCACCACGGAAUCAUGCCCAUGUCUGUCUGGUUCGGAGUUAAGUUCACACCAGGUGGCCACUCAACCUUCUUCGGUAUGCUGAACACCUUUGUCCACAUCGUGAUGUACUCCUACUACUUGUUGGCUGCUCUGGGCCCUGAAAUCCAGAAGUACCUAUGGUGGAAGAAAUAUCUCACAGCUCUGCAAAUGGUCCAAUUCGUGUUGGUGUUCUUCCACGCGUUCCAGCUGUUGUUCAUCGACUGCGACUACCCCAAGGCUUUCGUCUGGUGGAUCGGCAUGCACGCCGUGCUCUUCUAUUACCUGUUCUCUGACUUCUAUAAACAGGCGUACUUGAAGAAGGCAAAAAACGCUAAAUCGAAAGUAAAGGUUGAAGCCGACGACACCAAGCAAGAUACCAAGGAGAUGAAGCUGCCUCUCCUGAACGGCUUCAGCAACGGGUCGGCUCUCGGCGACGUCCGGCAAAGGGUGGCCGGCGCGGUGGCCUCGCAGUGAACCUUACUUUAGUUACAGUGUUUAGUCUAUAAUGUACAGGCAAUGACAAUAAUAUCUAUAAGAAAAUCACAGUUUCUGUGAACACCAAAGAUGAAAAGGUGGUUCAGCGCAGAUUGGAGGUGCUGGUAAAAAGGAAGCCCUUUGUGCAUAGAUUUUUGAAAGGACGUAAGGCAUUGUAACUGAGAUUUUGGGAGGCAUAACAACAGAUAUUUUGAUAUUUGUCCUAACCAGAUUUCACAAGGGCAUCACAUCCAGACCUUCAUCUACCUUUACAACUAAGCAAUAGACGUACAAAUAGGUUUGUGAUCGGGGCAAUAUAGCAAUGAAGAUUAACAAAACAAAAAGUAAAGUACAUGAUAGUCGGCUGUUUUCAUUCGCCUGCUGUCAGAACAUUAUCUGUAUUUGACGAGAAAACGCUCAAUUAGUUCUGCGCAAAAGCCUGUUGUAUAAUAAAAAAGGUGCCAAUUUCAUUUUUAUAAUCAAAGUUUUAUAACUGUAUAAAAAAUUAGAAUCUUAAUGACGUAAUGGAAUAAAUGAAAUGUUUUGUAAUUUUUUAUAUAAUUUGGCUGUAGAAUUGUCAUUCAGAUUAAAAUAUAUAUAUAGUUUUUUAUGCAAGAAAUUAUACUUUUAGGGGUUUGUUAACUAAAACAAAUGACAAAUGCUAGAUUUCAAAAGCAAUAUAAUAUGUGUAUGAAACGAUAUUUCCGAAACAAAGUUUGAGUGUAUGAAAACAUGCGAUAAGUUGUGGGUUUUAAGAAAGAGUUAACGGUAGUAUAUAUGCAUGAUUAGGCCAGAAUUAACAAAUAUAACGAACAUCUAUUUAUUAAAUGCAUUAUUUUUCUAAAAUUUUGUUUCACAAGGACCUAAAUAUGUAUUGGCUUCCUUUACUUUAACUAAAACAUUUGUGAUUUCAUUUCCUUUCUGACAAUAUGUCACACACUGUACUAAUAAAUAUUACGGUUUAUUUUCCUUAACAACCUUCUAGUUUCCAAUUUGAUGAAAAUAUUAUUAGAACUCCACUAAAAUAAUGUUUUUAUAAAAUUAAUAAAUAAAUAUCGUAUGUUUUCAUAAAAAAAGAUACCCAGUUGAAUGAAUUAUCUAUGUUUUUUCUAAAGUUUUAUUCUAAUAAUGCAUUUUGUAAUGUAUCAAAAAUGGUUUACGACUAUUUAUGAGAAACAUUUUUAUUAACACUACACGUGAAAUCCAUUCUGUGACGUUUUGAUAUUUAUGAAAAAUGCAUAUUUAAAUUGUAAAUAUAGUAAUAUAGGAUAACCUUUGGUAUAUAAACAUAAU